UGAGGAGUAUUGCGCAAUGGCCGAAAGGCUGACGCAGCGACGCCGCGUGAAGGAUGAAGUCCGUUAGGAUGUAAACUUCUUUUGCAGGGGAUGAAUGUGGCGCUUAGCGCCAUUGACCGUACCCUGCGAAUAAGGAUCGGCUAACUACGUGCCAGCAGCCGCGGUAAUACGUAGGAUCCGAGCGUUGUCCGGAAUUACUGGGUGUAAAGGGCGUGUAGGUGGGUCUCUAAGUCGGUGGUGAAAUCCUGCAGCUUAACUGCAGAACUGCCAUCGAUACUGGAGGUCUUGAGUACGGCAGAGGGAGAUGGAAUUCAUGGUGUAGCGGUGAAAUGUGUAGAUAUCAUGAAGAACACCGGUAGCGAAGGCGGUCUCCUGGUCCGUAACUGACACUGAGGCGCGAAAGCGUGGGGAGCAAACAGG
rnacentral:rRNA from 1 species